rnacentral:rRNA from 1 species
CAGAUAAGGAGCUUGCUCCUUUGACGUUAGCGGCGGACGGGUGAGUAACACGUGGGUAACCUACCUAUAAGACUGGGAUAACUUCGGGAAACCGGAGCUAAUACCGGAUAAUAUUUCGAACCGCAUGGUUCGAUAGUGAAAGAUGGCCCUGCUAUCACUUAUAGAUGGACCUGCGCCGUAUUAGCUAGUUGGUAAGGUAACGGCUUACCAAGGCAACGAUACGUAGCCGACCUGAGAGGGUGAUCGGCCACACUGGAACUGAGACACGGUCCAGACUCCUACGGGAGGCAGCAGUAGGGAAUCUUCCGCAAUGGGCGAAAGCCUGACGGAGCAACGCCGCGUGAGUGAUGAAGGUCUUCGGAUCGUAAAACUCUGUUAUUAGGGAAGAACAAACGUGUAAGUAACUGUGCACGUCUUGACGGUACCUAAUCAGAAAGCCACGGCUAACUACGUGCCAGCAGCCGCGGUAAUACGUAGGUGGCAAGCGUUAUCCGGAAUUAUUGGGCGUAAAGCGCGCGUAGGCGGUUUUUUAAGUCUGAUGUGAAAGCCCACGGCUCAACCGUGGAGGGUCAUUGGAAACUGGGAAACUUGAGUGCAGAAGAGGAAAGUGGAAUUCCAUGUGUAGCGGUGAAAUGCGCAGAGAUAUGGAGGAACACCAGUGGCGAAGGCGACUUUCUGGUCUG